GAGUGGCCGUGGCGAUGGCGUUCGUGCGCAUCGAGAACACCCGCGCGGAGCAGCGCCGCGAGCUGGUACGAGUCAACGAUGCAAUUCCUCUCCCUCAUUCUCCAAUUCGUAUUGCAAGCGCCAGUUUGGUUAUCGAUUUUGUGGAUGUCGGUGAUUGAUGUGGUUCCUCGAUUUGCUCAGGUUCCUAUGUGAGGAGCUAUUUAGCUUUGAGCAUAGGCCACAGCUGAUCUUGGAGUUUAAUCAGGUGUGCUUGCUAGGUAGCAAGAAUUUUGGAAUUGAGGAGGCGUUGAGGUUCUGGGUAUGCAGUGUGAAAGUUUCUCUGCUGCAUCUGUAUGUGUUUGUAAUUGCUAGGCUUGUCGUUCACAAUUGGGGUAUCUUUCAUGAAAUUCGUGGGCAUAGGGGAAUCAGGCAAUCAGCUACUCUUUGAGAGAGGUCGAUUGGUCUUUGUUAUCCUCUUGUACUGCCCCGUGGGAUAAUGAUGCUGAUUGGCUUUUCAGCUCUACAUGAUUCUGACCCUUAUGUUGUGAUUAAUUGCACUUCAGUUAGAAUGUAAGCAUGGUUAAUAUGAUGCUAUUUUGUUUGGAGUUUUUUAUCUCCUUUUCUCCGUGGUCAUAUGCUUGGUUUGCUUGCAUGCACGAAAACAAUGAAACAAACAAACAAAUGGAUUGUGUUUUUCCAUGCAGGGCUGUAGCUUCUUUUGUUUGUCUGUUUAUUCGAAUGACCUGUAUCAAGUGUUACGUGAUACGACCCACAUGGUAUAAAACAACACUUGAUAGAGUAGUAAUUUAUGGGACACCACAACUGGCAGGAUACCUCCAUGGCCUAUCCCCGCAAGGAUUUUGAAAUAUCCUUCUGAUGGAAAAAAAAUUAGACUACAUUAAGAUUUUUGUUCACCACUGAAAAUUUUUAAAGUAUGGAGAAAAUUAGUACUAAACCUUACAAUUUUGGUUAACAAAAUUAAAAGUGAAGAAAACGAAUAACAUUAAUAUUCGAACUGUAAUCUAAUGUAAAACUGCAAUGUUCUUUUAAACUUAGUAGACAGCUUACAGCCCCAGUGUUUUCAUGGGUAAAUUCUGGAGUUUUGUGUUCUUUGAGCACCCAAAAAAUUUAUCUGAUUUCAGUGUUACCUGAAAGGUUUCAUGAUCCCACAAUUUUCCAUGGCCCCUGCUCUCUUUUCAAACAAGUGUGCACAUUUCCUCUUGGAUAUUCUCUUUCUUAAUGUGAUAAUUAGUGGUUGUAACGUUGUUUGGCAUGGAAACUGAAAUUGUGUAUGUCAAGUAGUCUGUUGUGCUAAUAACAGGAUAUUAGAUGUCCAUGUAGACAUGCUUCAGAUUUGUCAUAUUUGAAUGAUGAUAGUGUUUACACACUGAAGUUUAGGAAAACUAAUGCCCAAUGUAAAAUAAAGAACUUAACUUCAUUUUUUCUUGAGAAACAUGUAUGAGAGGAUGCUUUGAAGACUAUGUGGGGCUACAUUGGGAUCUCAAAGGAAGGUGCAGCUGCGCUCGCUGCUGAUGGCUAAUUGUAUAUUGCUAUAAAUGGAGCUAUUUUUAUAUUCUUAUUUUAGAGAGAGAGACAUGGACCUGCUUUUACUAGGGUGUCAUUUUUUUUGUGUGUCUAAGGUUGUCUGGAAAUCAUAAAAUCAUUUUACCUUCCGCGACUAUACAAAAUACCUGUCAUGAGAUCUUGGAUUCCCAAUACUACAUGUCCUAAGAAAAUAAUACUUAGUAAAUUAUAUUUUGUACUAACUCAAAAAUUCAGUUUGUGCUUUCUUGGAGUCAUCCAUAACCAGCAUC
rnacentral:lncRNA from 1 species